rnacentral:rRNA from 1 species
UACGUAGGCAGCAAGCGUUGUUCGGAAUUAUUGGGCGUAAAGGGUGCGUAGGCGGUUUGGUAAGUCUUAUGUGAAAUCUACAGGCUCAACUUGUAGUCUGCAUGAGAAACUGCCGGGCUUGAGUAUGGGAGAGGUGAGUGGAAUUCCUGGUGUAGCGGUGAAAUGCGUAGAUAUCAGGAGGAACACCUGUGGCGAAAGCGGCUCACUGGACCAUAACUGACGCUGAUGCACGAAAGCUAGGGGAGCAAACAGG